rnacentral:lncRNA from 1 species
GCCACGUGCUGAGUCCUGCCUGCCUUCGCCCCCUGCUGGUGGCUCACGGUAUUGAAGCCAGACUUCUCAUGGACAUGAAAUUGACAGCCCACUUUAGCCCAGAGGUCCCUUCGUCUUCCCUUCCUCCGUGGCAAGGACUACUGGCAUGUGCUGCCCAUGCCCCAGCAUCACCUCGAAGAGUUCUCCACGUGCUCUGAAACUGCCUCCAUCAUUUUUCAUGGAACAAAAAUAUCCCAUUACAAAUACAUACCAUUGUUUUCUACACCGGAGUUCUGUGCAUGACCAGAUCACUCAAGAUGGAGGCACCUAUGUGAGAAACAGCAGAGAUCUGCUUCUGGGAGAUGACAUUCCAUGUGUCCCUACCACAUGGGCAGAAACAGCCUCUUCCCAUUGACUGGGUGUGAGUGUCAGAGGUAUCCCUGAAAUGUUGUAGGGCAUGUGAUCAUGCUGGUAAAAUCCAGCCGAGCAGAAGAAAUCCAUUAUUUCUUUGUCUUCCUCUGCUUCCAUUGAAAACCAUGGGUUGCCUAGAAAACAGCUGAGAGCAUGUUUAUGGCAUGGCACUGAUCCCCUUAGUUUUCUUGUUCAAAGUCUUAUAGUCUGUCCGUAACCUGAUUACCCAAGUCUUCUUCUGUACCACCACUAUAAGCAUUGCAAAUGGACUUCUGGACUAGGUGGUACCAUUGGCUAAACCUUUCAGAUGUUUUCUGGACUUCUACAACAAGUAGAGGAGUCUUCUGGGACUUCUAAAAAGGCCAGGAGUCAGUGAGGUAGAUUUGGGAGGGGGCUGCUCCUUGGGCACUUCCUAUACUCACAAGAAUAGUAGACCUAUCCUCCCUGUGACCUUCUCUCUCAUCCGGUCCUUCCAUUCUCCAAGCAUUGCAGAGUUACCACAGUCAAGGUCGUCUGGUUCCCCUUCUGAGUUCUGAAGGAACUAAGGCUCCUGUGAUGGUCUUUGCUGACCCCUGCUUUAAGAUUCUCUGCAGGCUACAAGGAUGGUUAGGAUUGGUGAGGGAUUAAAACCAAGCUCACUGCCUGCAGCAUUCUGCAAACUUGCUGCAAAAACUGCAGAGACACUCUGCAAGUCUGGCAUAGCAGAUCUAAAGUACCGACAGUCUCGAUACCUUACUUGCAGGGUCCAGAGCCCAUACCCUGGAAGGCAAUCCUUUCAACUCCAGAACUCUUCUCCAGGGGCCCUGUUGCCCUGAUUGGCGAAUGCCUCACAUGGCCCACUGCAUCUAAGCCUACUCUGGGCAUGCUUCACUUUCCUUCCCAGCCAUCUUCUCACCAGAUAUCUUGCUACCCCAAAUGAACUACCUGUCCCUGCCCUGCACAAAGAAGUUUAGGGACCAUAAUCAAAGUAUGUUUCUGGAAAGAGGGUUCUGAUCCACUCCCCU